rnacentral:lncRNA from 1 species
GCCGAAGUGUGUAUUCACCUGAUGGAUAAACAAAAAACAGAUUUUUUUUUUUUUUGCUUCAAUUUUUCUCUCAUGUGCAGCUAGCAGGAAAUUUUCUGGACUAAAGGCAGAUUGCUUAAGUACAGUAGAAUUAGACGCUGUGGAGUCCCAACCUUUGUAUUUCUCAUCUAGUGAUAGAAGAUGAACAAACCCAUCAACUGAUUAAUACAAUUCAGUUCUGCUUAAAAUUCACAGAUCUGUUUGGUAUGAGACUGUAUUUAAAAGACUCCUACGUGCCAUUAAGUGUGAAGAAAUCAGUAACUAUUCUUUUCAUCCACAGCGUGUUGAGUUCCCCCCACCCCCAUUUAAAUUUUGCUUAUUAAGUGAGGUCAUUUGGGAGAAGAGUGGCUCUGGUGGGUGGGGAAAAAAAAAUCUAACAGCUCGACUCCCAAGUUGAGAGCUCCAGAUCAUGGGCCAUUCAGUACAAAGCGUUUUAUAUCUUGACUUAUGAGGGGACAAUAGCUGGUCUUACAAAGGCACCACCUGUGAUUUCGCACGGUUGACAUCUUUGUUAAGGAGGAGUCGGAGGGCAGCGGCGAAACAGCACAUGCACGAUCCGGAGCGCGUUACCGUGACCCACCUUCAAGACCGUUUCUCGCCUUCGCGGAGGCCUGGCCAGGUUUUCUGGCUCACAGUUUUUGGAAAGGGUGUGGGGAGAGAGAAAGGAAACGAGCGUCGUACACGCUGGUGGAGCCAAAGCUCUUGGACUUACGGCUUGCCAGCGCCCAGCUGUUCCAUUUUACAGAUGGGUAAAACGGAGGUCAGGUCCCCGGAGUAUCUGGCUCAGCAGGUCGCUUCUGACAAAUCUAUCUAUUUGGGGCAAAUUGUCAGUGAGAAACUUCCGCUCGAACUGCCCUGGACAAAACCGGCUGUUUGAAAAGGGUAAAUCCCGCGGCCCGGCGAGGCCGAACAAUGGGCCGCUGGUGCGGCUGCGGCGGGGGCGGCCGGGCGGGCAGCACAAAGGGCGGAUUAAUUGGGGCCGCGGCUGAGCGGUUCGCGCUAGCUCCACUCAGCCCGCGCCGCGGGGCGCCCCAUUGACUGGGCCCCGAGCCCCACUUUUCACAAA